ACCACAUCCAGCCCUGGAGGCUGAUUCGAUGGAGCCGCAGGAGGGCUCCUUUGGGGACACGUUCAGAAAAGCCCCAAAGGGGCCCUGGAGGAGAGCACGUGGAUCCACACACUUUCCGGCACUGGCAAAGGAAGUAGAUGGCGAAGUUAUUUUUCUUUUGGUGAAGAGUGGAUGGUUUCAAAUAAAUCACUGCUUCAUCCCGCACCCUAAGACAACUCUCCAGAAAUGGGAGGUGUGGGCCUGCUUUGCAAGGUCAGUGUCUUUUCAUCUUUUCCUCAAAUCCCUUCCCACCCAUGUCUCCUUUAUAUGUUUAUUUAUUAGCUUUUCUCUAUAGUCUGCGUUUUAUGCUUCUUCCCUCUCGUGUAAGAAAGACAGCUUCCUUGAUGCUAUUUCGCAUUCACUGAAAAAAGUGCUAAGUCCAACAGCACUAGGGUCUGACGAGCAGGGGACACGCCUAUCAGAAGAGCCAAUGGCUCAUAGACAUCAUGUGAACUUCAAGCAUAGAUUAUUAUUAUUAUUGAGUUUAUAGCACCUUGGCUGUUUGCCCAGCGUGUCCUUGAUAACUCAGGGUCACACACACAAAAAAGUGAUUCUCUGCCACUACUCAGUAAGACAUGGGAUCUGCAUGAUUAAAAGGGCCUUAGCAUUCAGAAUCCUGAAAUAAUGGCACUCCGAAUUAAAUUAAAAAUGGGUCCGAUUGCUUUCAGUGAAGAAUUGCUAUUACCCUGUACCUUUCUUCUUGCUCCCGUCCAAAGUCCUUAUUGAUUUCAUUGUUGCUCAGGUCUGAUAACAUCUGUCCUAUUGUUUGGAGGAAUUUAAGAUGCUUAUAAAGACUGAACCAAAGUAGUGAAUUAAUAGAGGGAGGCUGGAGAAACAAAGAAAAUGGGGUGAUUUAAAUGAGUCUAUAUGCACCUAACAGAAGUCGCUGCUGUGGUUGACACUUUUUGUGAUACAUCCAGAGCAGGUUUCUUUGUUCCGUGGUCACUUUCUGGGUAAAUGUCAGGACAUGAGACCACUCGUCCCUAGACCACUCCAGCUCAUUUGCCCCACAGCGACCGGGGUGCCCACAUAGACUGUUUUGGUAAUUAAAUUCCCAGAAAACCUGUUCUGAAUCACCCAAUAAUUGACUAAAUUUGUAUUUGGAUGCCGUUGCUGAUGAGAAUAAAGCACCACGCCAUAACGCUUUCCAUUUCACCAUGGUUUUAUUGCCUUAUUGGACCCCCAGGGACCUGGUACACCCCAGGGGGAAUACUUUUCAAUUUAAUUAACCUGCAGACAUUUAGCUUAAAGCGCCAUAAAUAAUAGACAAAUACUCCCCUUUCCCCUAUUUGUCUCUUAUGGAGAAUUACAACUACUAAUAAUGUAAUAAUUG
rnacentral:lncRNA from 9 species